UAAACAGGGCAGUUUUGAUGGUGCAGCCUAGGAAACAACAUUGCCUGGCUGGAGGGCUGCUGGAGCCCAAUGAAUCCUGCAUUCUGUCCAGCAUGUAUGGUCCAGCUUCAGCAGGAAGGGUGGAAGGCAGAGACACCAGCACCACACAGCUAUUUUGCUCACCCUCGCUGAAGGGCAGUGCCAGUGCUCAGGGGAGGAAGAGCUGAAGAACUGAAGGCCCAGUACCCUCUUGAACUUCACCUAUAAGCUGCUGGCCAAGCCUUGGCUGAGUGAUUUAAACCUGUCAUAGGUUCCAUCAUCCAUGAGGACCAGUUGUGUGUGGUACCAGGAGACCAGAUCCAUGGAGCCCUGCUGCAACUGAGGGACAUGCUUCAGCUGGAACAGGACAGAGAGCAGAGGUUGGCUGUGCUGAACCUGGACCUGGAAAAGGCCUACGACAGAGUAUCACACUGAUUUCUCUUUGCUAAGGCGAUUGGACAUCCCUAUGAUCUUCACCGGCUGGAUAAGAACGCUGUACACAGACAUGAGCAGCGAGGUGCUGGUCAAAAGGUUCUUGAGCACGCAGAUCGUGAUAGAGUCAGGGGUCUGCCAGGGCUGCCAGCUCUCCCCGAUCCUAUUCAUCUGCGCCAUUGAACCCUGGCCCAGCGCAUCAGGCAGGACCCUGGGAGAAGUGGGAUGAACGGAGUCCAGAUCCCCAGAGGAAGCAGGGAAGAGACCUGGGUCCUAGCCUACAUGGGCAACUUGAACAUCCUGAUGCUUUAGUUGAAAUGCCCUCACCAUCAUUUUGAAACAUGGGAUGUAAAAUACACGAGACACUGUGGGUAUUUUAAUUUGAGUGGCUCCUGAGAGCUCUAAAUAAAAUCCCAUCCUCCCCCCGCCCCCCCCCCCCCAGUACAUAUAUAAACUUAGGGAUUAAUUUGUAAGACCCUAAAUGUUUAUUGGAUCCAGCCCAUAAGGACUCCAAGAAGAUGUAGGAAGGCCAUGUACCUAUUAUCCGCCAUUUUACUGUGUUUUAAUGCACAUAUGCAAAGCUGAAUAACUGGACAACUUUUCUAACAAAACUCUGUGUUGGGGUCAGGGGAAAUCUUGCUUGUCAGAAAAAGUAGAAUACAACAGUGUUGUCCCGUUUUAUUUUGCCAAAAUAAUUAAAAGUAUUUUCUAUAAACAAAGUCAAAGGUCUUUAUAAAGCAUUCACAUUACUAUCAUCUUUGCCUUUUGAAAUAUAGUGGCAGUUUCUGACUUUCAUUACAUUAAAAUAAUUCAUACAUACCAUAGACCAGGGGUUGUCACCUGGAGGUAUGUG